rnacentral:rRNA from 1 species
CCUACGGGAUGCAGCAGUGGGGAAUAUUGCACAAUGGGGGAAACCCUGAUGCAGCGACGCCGCGUGAGUGAAGAAGUAUUUCGGUAUGUAAAGCUCUAUCAGCAGGGAAGAAAUAGCGACCUUUGGGUCGCCAGACGGUACCUGACUAAGAAGCCCCGGCUAACUACGUGCCAGCAGCCGCGGUAAUACGUAGGGGGCAAGCGUUAUCCGGAUUUACUGGGUGUAAAGGGAGCGUAGACGGCAGCACAAGUCUGGAGUGAAAUGCCGGGGCUUAACCCCGGAACAGCGUUGGAAACUGUGCAGCUAGAGUGCAGGAGAGGUAAGUGGAAUUCCUAGUGUAGCGGUGAAAUGCGGAGAUAUUAGGAGGAACACCAGUGGCGAAGGCGGCUUACUGGACUGUAACUGACGUUGAGGCUCGAAAGCGUGGGGAGCAAACAGGAUUAGAUACCCCAGUAGUC